GGCGGCGGCCUACACAUGCAGUCGAGCGGUAGCACAGAGAGCUUGCUCUCGGGUGACGAGCGGCGGACGGGUGAGUAAUGUCUGGGAAACUGCCUGAUGGAGGGGGAUAACUACUGGAAACGGUAGCUAAUACCGCAUAACGUCGCAAGACCAAAGUGGGGGACCUUCGGGCCUCAUGCCAUCAGAUGUGCCCAGAUGGGAUUAGCUAGUAGGUGGGGUAACGGCUCACCUAGGCGACGAUCCCUAGCUGGUCUGAGAGGAUGACCAGCCACACUGGAACUGAGACACGGUCCAGACUCCUACGGGAGGCAGCAGUGGGGAAUAUUGCACAAUGGGCGCAAACCUGAUGCAGCCAUGCCGCGCGUGUGAAGAAGGCCUUCGGGUUGUAAAGCACUUUCUGCGGGGAAGAAGGCAUUAAAGUUAAUGACCUUGCCGACUGACAUUACCCCCAUAUGAAGCGCCGGCCCACUCCGUGCGGGUUUCCGCGGUAAUACGGAGGGUGCAAGCGUUGGGCGGAAUUACUGGGCGUGGUGCACACGCAUGAAUUUCUGUCGGAGUCCGAUGUCAAAUCCUCGGGCUCAACCUGGGAACUGCUUUCGAAACUGGAACGCUAGAUUCUUGUAAAGGGGGGUAAAAUUCCCAGUGUAGCGGUGAUAUGCUCAGAGAAUCUGGAGAAAUACCGGUGGCGAAUGCGCGCCCCCUGCGACAAUGACUGACGCUCAGGUGCGAAAGCGUGCGGAGCAAACACGAUUACAUACUCUGGUAGUCCACGCCCAGAAACAUGUCGAAUUUGGACGUUGUGCCCUUGAGGCGUGGCUUCUGGAGCUAACGCGUUAAAUCGACCGCCUGGGGAGUACGGCCGCCAGGUUAAAUCUCAAUGGAAAUUUGAACGGGG
rnacentral:rRNA from 1 species